rnacentral:rRNA from 1 species
CUACGGGUUGCUGCAGUGAGGAAUAUUGGGCAAUGGAGGCAACUCUGACCCAGCCAUGCCGCGUGCAGGAAGACGGCCCUCUGGGUUGUAAACUGCUUUUGUUUGGGAAUAAACCCUUCUACGUGUAGGAGGCUGAAGGUACCAUUCGAAUAAGGAUCGGCUAACUCCGUGCCAGCAGCCGCGGUAAUACGGAGGAUCCAAGCGUUAUCGGGAUUUAUUGGGUUUAAAGGGUCCGUAGGCGGGUCUUUAAGUCAGUGGUGAAAGCCCACAGCUCAACUGUGGAACUGCCAUUGAUACUGGAGAUCUUGAGUGUAGUAGAAGUAGGCGGAAUAGGGCAUGUAGCGGUGAAAUGCAUAGAUAUGCCCUAGAACACCGAUUGCGAAGGCAGCUUACUAUGUUACAACUGACGCUGAGGGACGAAAGCGUGGGGAGCAAACAGGAUUAGAUACCCUUGAGUC